rnacentral:rRNA from 1 species
AGUGAACGCUGGCGGUAGGCCUAACACAUGCAAGUCGAACGGCAGCACAGUAAGAGCUUGCUCUUACGGGUGGCGAGUGGCGGACGGGUGAGGAAUACAUCGGAAUCUACUUUUUCGUGGGGGAUAACGUAGGGAAACUUACGCUAAUACCGCAUACGACCUACGGGUGAAAGCAGGGGAUCUUCGGACCUUGCGCGAUUGAAUGAGCCGAUGUCGGAUUAGCUAGUUGGCGGGGUAAAGGCCCACCGAGGCGACGAUCCGUAGCUGGUCUGAGAGGAUGAUCAGCCACACUGGAACUGAGACACGGUCCAGACUCCUACGGGAGGCAGCAGUGGGGAAUAUUGGACAAUGGGCGCAAGCCUGAUCCAGCCAUACCGCGUGGGUGAAGAAGGCCUUCGGGUUGUAAAGCCCUUUUGUUGGGAAAGAAAAGCAGCAGGUUAAUACCCCGCUGUUCUGACGGUACCCAAAGAAUAAGCACCGGCUAACUUCAUG